GGGCCCGCACAAGCGGCGGAGCAUGCGGAUUAAUUCGAUGCAACGCGAAGAACCUUACCAAGGCUUGACAUGCACCGGAAACUUCCAGAGAUGGUUGCCCCGCAAGGUCGGUGCACAGGUGGUGCAUGGUUGUCGUCAGCUCGUGUCGUGAGAUGUUGGGUUAAGUCCCGCAACGAGCGCAACCCUCGUCCCAUGUUGCCAGCGGGUUAUGCCGGGGACUCAUGGGAGACUGCCGGGGUCAACUCGGAGGAAGGUGGGGAUGACGUCAAAUCAUCAUGCCCCUUAUGUCUUGGGCUUCACGCAUGCUACAAUGGCCGGUACAAAGGGUUGCGAUACCGUG
rnacentral:rRNA from 1 species